UCCAGACUCCUACGGGAGGCAGCAGUGGGGAAUAUUGCACAAUGGGGGAAACCCUGAUGCAGCGACGCCGCGUGAGCGAUGAAGUAUUUCGGUAUGUAAAGCUCCAUCAGCAGGGAAGAAAAUGACGGUACCUGACUAAGAAGCCCCGGCUAACUACGUGCCAGCAGCCGCGGUAAUACGUAGGGGGCAAGCGUUAUCCGGAUUUACUGGGUGUAAAGGGAGCGUAGACGGCGGUGCAAGCCAGAUGUGAAAGCCCGGGGCUCAACCCGAGGAUUGCAUUUGGAACUAUCAAGCUAGAGUACAGGAGAGGAAAGCGGAAUUCCUAGUGUAGCGGUGAAAUGCGUAGAUAUUAGGAAGAACACCAGUGGCGAAGGCGGCUUUCUGGACUGAAACUGACGCUGAGGCACGAAAGCGUGGGGAGCGAACAGGAUUAGAUACCCGAGUA
rnacentral:rRNA from 1 species